rnacentral:rRNA from 1 species
CACCCAACAGCUAGCCCAACCACCAACUCAUAAACCCCCACUAUAUAUAAACCUAAACACACUACCCCAAACAAACAAACCAUUUUUCCCCCUAAGUAUGGGCGACAAAAAAGGACCCAGGAGCAAUAGAAAAAGUACCGCAAGGGAAAGCUGAAAGAGUAAUGAAACAACCCAGUUAAGUAGUAAAAAGCAGAGACCUCCUCUCGUACCUUUUGCAUCAUGGUUUAGCUAGAAUAUUUUAAGCAAAAAGAAUUAUAGUUUAACACCCCGAAACUAGACGAGCUACUCCAAGACAGUCUAACUUAUAGGACCCCCCCGUCUCUGUGGCAAAAGAGUGGGAAGAGCUUUGAGUAGAGGUGAAAGACCUACCGAGCCUAGUUAUAGCUGGUUGCCUGAGAAAUGAAUAGAAGUUCAGCCCCUUAAGUUCUCAACCCCCUUUUGGCUUAAAGGCCUUUACACCGAACAAGAGAAUUCCAAGGGAGUUAGUCAAAGGGGGUACAGCCCCUUUGACAUAAGACACAACUUUUCCAGGAGGGUAAGGAUCAUAGGCAAAUAAAGGUUAAAUACCCCAGUGGGCUUAAAAGCAGCCAUCUAUCCAGAAAGCGUUAAAGCUCAAGUAUAGACUAACCCCUUCAAAUAAAGACAAUAUAAUCUCACCCCCCUAAUAUCUACCAGGCCGCCCCAUAAAAAAAUAUGGGGGUGUACAUGCUAAUAUGAGUAAUAAGAGAAGCACCCCUUCUCUCCCCGCACAAGUGUAAGUCGGAACGAACCCCCGCCGAACAUUAACGGCCCCAAAGUCAAAGAGGGGACUAAACAAGAAAUAAAUAACUAGAAAACCACCUAACACCCCACCGUUAACCCUACACUGGUGUGCUAACCGGGAAAGACUAAAGGAAAAAGAAGGAACUCGGCAAACACAAGCCUCGCCUGUUUACCAAAAACACCGCCUCUUGUACACCAAAAAUAAGAGGUCCCGCCUGCCCUGUGACUGUAA